UCAAACUCAAUGCUGUCAGUCACAGAGUAGAAGUUGGGAACAGAGCAGCUGUGAAAUCUGUCUUUGUUAUUGUGCUCAGCGUCUUUUAGUUUACAUUUUGACUGCACAAUUGUGAGCUUUUUGUUAUGCACAAAAACAACAUUGUUUUCUUUUAUUUAUGGAGCAUUAUUAUUUAAUAAAUGCUCAUAAUUUAUUUUUGAGUAAAUUUUAUGUACAUCUAUGCUCUAUGUUAAUAAAAGUGCCUGUGUGACAUCUGGGACACAGCUUUGACUAAGAACUCUCUUUUUGUUCUUACUUUAUGGCUUUAAAAAAAAAAAAAAAAAAAAAAAUCGAGAUAUAUAUCUUAUAUCGCCAUCUAGGUAAAAAAUAUCGAGAUAUGAAUUUUGGGUCAUAUCGCCCAGCCCUAUGCUGGAAUAAUGAUAAUAAUAAUAAUACAGCAAGGAAGAUUAAAAGGUGAACUCAACCUGCUGUAUUUGCCAAAAAUGUGGCUCCAAAUGUGAACCUGCCGGUUGAGCUCAUGAUCAUAUUAGCAUAUUUAUACUGGUUUGUUUAUGUGUGGGGGGGGAAAAAAAAAAAAAAACUAUGAUCCUACUAACGUGUAUUGGCUGUGUAGCCAUCUGGGACCAUUUAAAACUAUGAAAAUAAAGCAAUCUCACCUUUGCAUGGUGUCAGUAUUACAAUAAUCACAGCAAGCAUUAUGGAAAUCUAGUCAAACAUUUUAUGCAAAGCUUCUACAUAUGGGUUUAUCACUGAGGUUAGGUGAAAAGCUGGCUGAUGUAAAGAGCCUUGGAUCAUUUAAACAUUAGGUCCUUCAACACAAGACCAUUUAAAGGUGGGAAUAUUAUACUGCUACUCCCCUCACUGUUCUGUAUAAGACUACAAAGGUUAACAAAAAGAGGGUCAACUAGUAAGAGCAGGGAGAGUUAUGUGAAAUUCUUAGACAGUUUGAGUAUGAAUGCACCAGGCUGAAUCUGAAUGCAGGUAAUGAAUGCUACAAAAGUUUGACAUUGUUCACCCC
ensembl:lncRNA